rnacentral:lncRNA from 1 species
GUCAAAAGGUCUUUUAUUAACUCCAUUUUUUGCACAAUAGAUGAUCUGAUAACCUGGAGCUCCAGUGGAGGUUCAUUACUAUUUAGAAGUUCUUCUAUCUCAGCCACUGUGUUGUCAAAUUUCUGGAGUUUCUGCUCCUGGACACAUAAGCAUGCCUUCAGUUGUGUCAGGUCCUCAUUGGUCAGACAACGGCCUUCUGCGUUCUUAAGUUCUGCAUUUGCCCAUGCAUCAAUUGUGCCAGAUAAACCAAGAAGUUUGUCCCACAAAGCCUGAGCUCUUCCCAAAUUAUCACAGUAGUUUUCAGUUUUUUCAUUGAUAUCCAGCCAUCUGUCCACAAUAAUGUUAGCCUCAUUCUCAAAUGGAGGCUCCUCAAAGCUUCUCAUUUUAUUGAGCUGGAAUUGAAGGUUUUUGCAGAUCUGAUUUAUUUUGUCUACAUCUUCAGCGUGAUCAUUAAAUUCCUCUUUUGCCUCUUCAAUCUUUGUUAUCAGUCUGUUCAAAUUGUCCUUCCC